CCCCGUGACUGCAGCUCAUCCUCAUCUCCCCACUCCAGACAGCAGAGGAUGGUACAUAAAUGGAGCUGUGAUGAAGACGUUGCUUACUUAGACGAAGUUCAAACAGUUCUUCAAGGCAAGCGAUGGACUCGGCCAAAAAAUGAUUUACAUCAAAUGAUUGCGGUAAGGUUGAAUACGAGAUUUAAUGUGAUGAACUUCGACUUCAAGAUCGUUAAGGAAAAGUAUUAUGCUUUUAGAAACCAGUGGAAGACCAUGACAAUAAUUGACCCAAAUAGAAAGCUGGUUACUUCAAAAGGGCGACCUAUCAAUGGCCAUGAAGAAACGAUCAAACUCUUGUUCAGUGGUGAUGUAGGCACAAGUUCAGAAACAUGGAGGGACAGGUGUGCCCGACGUACCUGAAGCUGAACUACCUGAAGACUUAAAAAAGAAACCACCUCAAGAGUGACAGACUUCCAGUGAUAUCUGAAAGAGGGGGAGCUCAAAGAGGGGUGGAGACGUCUGAGCAAUAUUGGGAAGUACCUGAUCAGUGAGGGUGACCUGCAGUGGGGCAAUGAUCAGUGCCCAAAACUUAAUGUAGUAUUCUUAGUUUGCUGAAGUAGAAGUCUAAUGAACCAGUACUUUGUAGUACUCAUGUUGCAUGCUUCUCCUGUCAUGUGAACAAUUAAACUUGGUCUGUAAUUUUGCUUGUCCUGUGGUGACAAGUUGUUGAACUUGGUCAGAAUUUCUGAAUGUUGAAUUUGGUUUCC